GGGGAUAUAGCUCUGUGGUACAGCGUUGGACUGCAAAUCGAGAGGUCCUCGGUUCAAACCCGCGUGUCCUCU